UCGGCAAAGACAACUUCAAGUUCAUUGAAGAAGUUUUCUCUACGCCGUUCAUACUCAGCAGCAG
rnacentral:sRNA from 1 species